GGGGGGGGGGGGGGGGGGGGGGGGGGGGGGGGGGGGGGGGGGGGGGGGGUGCUGGAGUAGGGCAGUGGUUCUGGGGCAGGGCAGUGGUGAUGGAGCAGGGCAGUGGUUCUGGGGCAGGGCAGUGGUUCUGGGGGAGGGCAGUGAUUCUGGAGCAGGGCAGUGGUGAUGGAGCAGGGCAGUGAUUCUGGGGCAGGGCAGUGAUUCUGGGGCAGGGCAGUGGUGCUGGAGCAGGGCAGUGGUUCUAGAGCAGGGCAGUGAUUCUGGGGCAGGGCAUUGAUUCUGGAGCAGGGCAGUGGUGCUGGAGCAGGGCAUUGAUUCUGGAGCAGCGCAGUGGUUCUGGGGCAGGGCAGUGGUUCUGGGACAGGGCAGUGAUUCUGGAGCAGUGCUCUGGUUCUGGAGCAGGGCAGUGAUGCUGGAGCAGGGCAGUGGUUCUGGGGCAGGGCAGUGGUUCUGUGGCAGGGCAGUGACGUGGUUCUGGAGCAGUGCUCUGGUGCUGGAUCAGCACUCCGCCGUGGCUCUGGAUCAGCACUCCGCCGUGGUCCCGCUGCCCGGUGCCGGUCCGUGCCCAUCCUCUCCGCCGCCCCGCAGCCCCGGGAGCAGCAGUAGUGGCACAGCUGUCAGCACUCAUUACUGCCAGCGCCCGCAGCCUGGCGCCAUCCCCUGACAUUGCCACGGGCAACCUGCCUCCAUUUACAGCCAGCUGCACCAUUACAGCGCUGCUGCUAACUUCCGAGGAGAACUUUAAAUGAUUGAGCACUCUGCCGGGGAAGAGAAGGCUUUUUGGUCGUUAAUAAUUCAGGGCUUAGACACUUUAUUGUCUUAAGAGGUGUGCUGGUUUGAAUAGCACAGGGAGCUUUCCAUGCAUCCCUUCUAGAUGGCACAUCUGUCUUGGGAGGAUGGAGACCCA
rnacentral:lncRNA from 1 species